GUAACGGGGCUCAAUCAUGUACCGAAUCUGUGGGUGUGUAUUUUCUUCGGAAAUUGCACGCGGUAGCGGAACGUUCUGUAAGCCUGUAAAGGUGUACCCGUGAGGGACACUGGAGGUAUCAGAAGUGCGAAUGCUGACAUAAGUAACGAUUAACAGAGUGAAAAACUCUGUCGCCGAAAAUCCCAGGGUUCCUGCGCAAGGUUAAUCCGCGCAGGGUUAGUCGGUCCCUAAGUCGAGGGCGAGAGCCGUAGGCGAUGGGAACAAGGUUAAUAUUCCUUGACCAGAUGGUAGUGACGGAUUUCGUAAAUUGUUAACUCUUAAUGGAUUGAGUUAGCUGUGAAGAAGUCCCAGGAAAUAGCUCCAUCAUUAGACCGUACCCUAAACCGACACAGGUGGAUUAUUAGAGUAUAAUUAGGCGCUUGAGAGAAUGAUGUUGAAGGAACUCGGCAAAAUGCCUCUGUAACUUCGGAAGAAAGAGGACCUUUGAUAAGGCAACUUAUUAAAGGUGGCACAAGCCAGGGAGAAGCGACUGUUUAUCAAAAACACAGGGCUCUGCUAACACGUAAGUGGAUGUAUAGGGUCUGACGCCUGCCCGGUGCUGGAAGGUUAAUGUGGUGAGUGCAAGCUCACUCCUGAAGCCCCAGUGAACGGCGGCCGUAACUAUAACGGUCCUAAGGUAGCGAAAUUCCUUGUCGGGUAAGUUCCGACCUGCAUGAAUGGCGUAACGAUUUCUCCGCUGUCUCCAACAUCAACUCAGUGAAAUUGAAUUCUCCGUGAAGAUGCGGAGUUCCCGUGGUUAGACGGAAAGACCCCGUGCACCUUUACUACAACUUUAUAUUGGUGUUAGGAAUGAUAUGUUUAGCAUAGGAGGGAGACUUUGAUACUUGGGCGUCAGCUUAAGUGGAGUCACCAGUGAAAUACCUCUCUUAUUAUUCUUGACAUCUAACUGCUUGCCGUGAUCCGGCAGCAAGACAUUGUAUGGUGGGUAGUUUGACUGGGGCGGUCGCCUCCCAAAGAGUAACGGAGGCGUGCGAAGGUAGGCUCAGAACGGUCAGAAAUCGUUCGUAGAGUGCAAUGGCAUAAGCCUGCCUGACUGCAAGACUGACAAGUCGAGCAGAGUCGAAAGACGGUCAUAGUGAUCCGGUGGUUCUGAGUGGAAGGGCCAUCGCUCAACGGAUAAAAGGUACGCCGGGGAUAACAGGCUGAUACCCUCCAAGAGUCCAUAUCGACGAGGGUGUUUGGCACCUCGAUGUCGGCUCAUCACAUCCUGGGGCUGGAGCAGGUCCCAAGGGUUUGGCUGUUCGCCAAUUAAAGUGGUACGUGAGCUGGGUCAGAACGUCG
rnacentral:rRNA from 1 species